rnacentral:rRNA from 1 species
UACGUAGGGGGCUAGCGUUGUCCGGAAUCAUUGGGCGUAAAGAGCGUGUAGGCGGUCCGGUAAGUCCGCUGUGAAAGUCGGGGGGCUCAACCCUCGAAUGCCGGUGGAUACUGUCGGGCUAGAGUGCGGAAGAGGAGAAUGGAAUUCCCGGUGUAGCGGUGAAAUGCGCAGAUAUCGGGAAGAACACCCGUGGCGAAGGCGGCUCUCUGGGACGGUACUGACGCUGAGACGCGAAAGCGUGGGGAGCGAACAGG